UCGCCCAGGGGGUCAGUGGUUAGAGCUUAGGUCUCGUAACCGAAAGGUCGCGGGAUCGAAUCCCGCUAAAGGCUGAA
rnacentral:tRNA from 1 species